ensembl:lncRNA
CAUGGGUGGGACUUUGAGAAUGCCGUGAGGAAGUCUGCAUGAAAACUGCUCAGCAGAGAUUGAAAUAGAGCUUCAGCCACUGGAAUCUUUUUUUUCCCUCUGUUUCUGUAUGUCUGGCAUUUGGCUCAUGAGUGUUUUCUUACACGGGCAGGGUCAUGGGCUGGCUGAGAAGGGGGCUGAGUUUGUCUCCUGCUCUGUUUACAGAUGCAUUUGAACCGUGCAGCCGCUGGAUGUCUCUGGUGCUCCACUCUCAUGGAGCAGGACCCGCAUCUGGGAGAGAUAAAUGGGUCAGUGUGGGAGGCCAGCUGCUCACUGCUGCCCAGCUGACGGGGAUGAUGUGACACAGCUCUCCACACAAGGCAUUGGGAGACAGGGUAAGAAGUUGCUCUUCACAGAGUUCCUCCUUUGGCUCCUGUGGUGUAAAGCUACAUGUACCUCCUGCUACAUGGAAAAAUUGCAACAGAAUUAAAAUUCAAAAAGCCUGGAUUUAUUUGAAGUAACACCAACAGAGAUCUGGGAUGAUUCCAUUAACAGCACUGCAGUCAUGCUGUUUCCAAAAGGAUAUCUAAAGAACUGUAUCCAAGGAGGAUGUCACACUUUUCUGUUCUCAAGUUCAACUUUAUCUCUGAGAGCAUCAGCAAGUUUCACCUCUUCUGAAAGAGCACUCUCCUGUGAUUUAUUUAGAAACUCCUGCUGCUCCCUAGAGGUUCCUUUAAGUAGAGGGAAAAUUAGGUCAUAUUUUGAUUUCUCUUGGCUGGCUCAUCUCCAAGACGGCCUGCACCCAGUUUCUACUAAACUGUUAACUUCUCAGAAGGAUAAUAUGUCAGAAUGAUAAAGAGUCAUGUCAAGAAGUACUGCAGAACAUGGUUCUUGUGAAUCUUACAAGGGAAAACUACAGCAAUUUAAUACCUUUCCAAACUAUCCUUUGUUGAAUGUAUUGCCUGACAGUGGUUUUGAAGCAAGAAUAAAAGGAUGUGAUCUACAAACUGGUUUGAGACUACUUCCAUUCCAAAGCACCAUGCUAAAACAGAUAAGCAUCCUCUUUUAAUUUUUACUGAAACAGGGAAGCUGGAAGGUCUGACAAGUGCAGUCUGAACUGGGAUCCCACAUCCUAAAUUGAUAUUGUGAUGAAUUUACAGCCAGUGGUACCAUCAGACCACAAAGUUAGUAGCCUAAGCUGCAGUUUUCAAACCAUCACAAGGCCUUUUCUGCAGAAGAAAACCAAUACAAAAGCUGGUUUAAGACAAUGAAAGACUCAUAUUUUGGCAAAGGGCUACAAAAAAGUGGUGUCCAUACCCACAUUAUGGAUAGACAAAAAUAACUUUAUGUCUUAUCCUAAAUUCUUGGAAAAAUCUCAGCUGUUCAAUCUCCAGGAUUCAGAGCCCCUGUGUUCCAGCAGGUGGUCUUGUUUAGAUUAGGAUGCAAUAACUAAUGACACAUUCUUAGGAGCAUUUCUCUUUGCUGCACUCUCCACAACUGCAAAAGAAUGAAGAGAAUAUUUGAUUUGCAUUUCACAAACCCUUUACUGAAUUUUUGUUGCUUAUACUUGCAGUCCUAAUGCUUCAGUUGUUAGUAAGAGAAGUCCUUCCUAAAGUAGGGGUGAUAGAAUUUAUCCUGUCACAAAUGUGCUGGGGUCAAAGUGAGGGACUAUUUAAAAGAGUGCCAGGUGAGAAACACCAGCUCAGGUUAUGCAUCAUCUAGCUAAGUGAACCUAUCUGGUAAUUCUUAACAUUCUGAAGAGUAAACUAUUAUUAAAUACUAAAGGAAGGCAAUUCUUGGUGUAGCAAUUAAUUGAAACCUUAGACCUAAGCUAGCAAGAUACAUGUUGGAAGCACACAGCAAAAAUAAUAUCAUUUGUAGUGUUAUCUGGAAGCAGCAAGCAAAUUGAAAAUAAAUUCUAGACUCUCCAAAGGAGGUGUGGAGUAGGAGGGCUACAAUAGAGCUUUGCACAGCUUGCUUGUUUUGAGUGCAAUUUAUAGAUCAUGAGGGCAUCUGUUUUACUGGAAUAAUACAAAGGUCAGAGAAAUGCAGCUGCCUGAACAAAGAAGCCAUGGCAGACAGUUUGCUUUCAAGCAAAACAACUUUCAAGCCAUUGACAAAUAAAACAACCUUAGACAUAAAAUAGUGUUGUUGAAUUAACACUAAAAGAAAUACUGUGGUACUCUGAAUGUAUUUUAAAAAGCAGUCAGUGAAAAUGUGUUCAGGAUGUGUCCACUUAAACCCUUAUUGUUGUAACACUUCUACUGAGUGGGAACCCCAAGUGAAAUAGCCUAGGAAGUGAUUAAACCUUCAGUUUUCAAAUGGAAAUAAAACCAAAAAGGAAAUGUUUUGCAUUCUAAAGUGCACUCGGCUGUGAUAACCUUGUCUUUAAUAACAGAAAGGAAGGACUAAAGCAUCCCCCCUCAGAAAGAGUCAGAGCAGGUUGGAUUCCUGAGGCUCUUGCUUUGCAAGAGGGGGUUUUAAAUCACCAUUUCCUGUUUGAAACAGGAGCACUUCCUCACUGAAAAGAACCUGAAAUUUAAUACAAGCAGAAGCUGAGGUACCUGCUUUGACAUCAGCAAAGGUGAUUUCACAGGGAGGACAGGAAAAGCAGGGAGA